CAGAGGGAAAGCGUGUUUGCUUCUAGGGUGGCAUCCUAAAGGUGGACCAUUCACAUCUCUGUGUACCAGGCCAGCUAGAACAAACUAUCCUCUGGGGGGAAAGGAGCUGUGGGUGGACCUGCUGGGGACGUUGCUGCUGCUGGAAAAGGCCGAUCCCGUCUCCCAGAAGACCCAACAAGAUGAACACACAUGGAAGGGGAUGGAAAAGACCAGCAGAGAGAGUAAAAUUGAGCUGCUGACUCAGUCUUGUAGCCUCAUAGCCGGAGAAACAAGGCCCCAGACCCCGCCCUGACCAGCCACUUCAAGGCCUGGCAAACUCGUCCCAGCAGUGGGCCAUUUUGGUAGCCAAUUUUGAUUGGACGUAUUCCUGGAGGGCUCAUCACAUGACAUAAUCUUUGCAAAAGAUGCAGAAUGGGCCAGCUGAGCCGGACUCUUCUCCGAGAGGCGAAAAGAGCGAGAGAAAGAGGUGAGAGAAGAAAGAAGAGGGGGAAGGAAAAGAUGAGCAUGAGGGAGGGGGAGGGAGCUGGAAGUUCAUGUCUCACCUCCCGGGCUGGGUGUGAGAUUUAGCCAGAGCCAGCGGAGGUGGCAACGUCACCCGGGUCCCUCUGUCCGGCCUGAUUCCAGCUCAGCUCCAAGGCCCAGGACAAUGAAGCCCCAGUGAUGUCAUGGCAGUUGGAUCGUGAACCCUCCAGGAUCCUCCUAGAACCUCCAGGAAUGAAAGAUUAAUCUUUCAUUAAAAAUUAUGUCUUGUGAUGAAACCAGAAUCGGCAACCCUGCCUGGUGGAGUCCAGGAGAUGGUACAGGUGGGUGCCAUUAUGGUGAAACUUGCUCCCAUAUGUCCACCCGGCCUCUUCAUCACCACCCCAGAGGUCUCUCCAAAAGGGGGAGGUGGCCAAGCUAGUCCCUCUCCUCCUGAUUUUGUCCACCAAUUAGGCCUCCAAUUUUAUUAUCUGCCAGGGACUUCCACCAUUAAGAUAAUGUUUGAUCCCGGCAGUGUGCUCUGUGGAUAUAUAGCAGGAGUUGGGAGGGGGCGUUUGUCACAUGUAACCUACGAUCUCUGUGGUCUUGGGAAACCAGGGUGCAGUAUCCAGCCUGUCUGACUCAUGAAGGACCUCCCCCCACCCGCCCCACCCAACCUCUGCUUGAAUCAAAACUGCUCAGAAGAAAGACUUACCCAAGCCCCUCCAGACAAGGGUGAGAGGAUUAAGGCAACUCCCCUAGUCUCAUUUACAUCAAAGAUGGGACAGGGAGGCACCUCCAUUAGCAUAGAGAAUGGAGAACAGAAAUUCCAAGGCAAGAACUGUGCUGAACUCUGGGACCAGAAAAGCAUGGAAGGACUGCAUGAUGGGAAAUCUCUGCUCCAGAUGUUAAAGAACCCACGCCUGCCCACACCCAGCUCAGUAGUUAUCUGACCAAUUCUAGUAAUAAAUCAUCUAUUGGUAUCCAAUAUACUGAAGCUGCCUAAUUGCAUUAUGAGCUCCCUCGAAGGAACACCGCCCAUAGCCAGGAAUGAUCAGUUCUUAUUGUCUAGCCUGAAUAAAACAGCUUUGAUAUACUCCCUUAAA